rnacentral:tRNA from 1 species
UGAGCAUAGUUUAUUAAAAUUCUAGUCUGUGAAUCUAGAGAUAAGAGUUAAUUACCCUUUGCCCACCG